UACGUAGGGUGCAAGCGUUAUCCUGAAUUAUUGGUCGUAAAGAGCUCGUAGGCGGUUUGUCGCGUCUGCCGUUAAAACUGGAGGCUCAACCUCCAGCCUGCGGUGGGUACGGGCAAACUAGAGUGCGGUAGGGGAGAUUGGAAUUCCUGGUGUAGCGGUGGAAUGCGCACAUAUCAGGAGGAACACCGGUGGCGAAGGCGGCAUCCUGGACCAACACUGACGCUGAGGAGCGAAAGCCAGGGGAGCAAACGGG
rnacentral:rRNA from 1 species